rnacentral:rRNA from 1 species
UACGGAGGAUGCGAGCGUUAUCCGGAUUUAUUGGGUUUAAAGGGUGCGUAGGCGGGCCGGUAAGUCAGCGGUGAAAUCCCAUGGCUCAACCAUGGAAUUGCCGUUGAAACUGUCGGUCUUGAAUAUGGUCAAGGUAGGCGGAAUGCGUAAUGUAGCGGUGAAAUGCUUAGAUAUCACGAGGAACUCCGAUUGCGCAGGCAGCUUACUAAACUACUACUGACGCUCAGGCACGAAGGCGUGGGGAUCAAACAGGAUUAGAUACCCU